rnacentral:rRNA from 1 species
GACUGAGACACGGCCCAGACUCCUACGGGAGGCAGCAGUAGGGAAUCUUGCGCAAUGGGCGAAGGCCUGACGCAGCGACGCCGCGUGCGGGACGAAGGCCCUCGGGUUGUAAACCGCUUUCAGCAGGGACGAAGCGAAAGUGACGGUACCUGCAGAAGAAGGUCCGGCCAACUACGUGCCAGCAGCCGCGGUAAUACGUAGGGACCGAGCGUUGUCCGGAUUCAUUGGGCGUAAAGAGCUCGUAGGCGGCCACUCAAGUCGAAUGUGAAACCUCGAGGCUCAACCUCGAGCCUGCAUUCGAUACUGGGCGGCUAGAGUCUGGUAGGGGGAUCUGGAAUUCCUGGUGUAGCGGUGGAAUGCGCAGAUAUCAGGAGGAACACCGGUGGCGAAGGCGGGAUCCUGGGCCAGUACUGACGCUGAGGAGCGAAAGCGUGGGGAGCAAACAGGAUUCGAUACCCUGGUAGUCCACGCCGUAAACGAUGGGCGCUAGGUGUGGGAGGUCAUCGACUCCUUCCGUGCCGCAGCUAACGCAUUAAGCGCCCCGCCUGGGGAGUACGGCCGCAAGGCUAAAACUCAAAGGAAUUGACGGGGGCCCGCACAAGCGGCGGAGCAUGUUGCUUAAUUCGACGCGACGCGAAGAACCUUACCAGGGCUUGACAUGUAGGGAAAAGCCGUGGAGACACGGUGUCCGCAAGGGCCCUACACAGGUGUUGCAUGGCUGUCGUCAGCUCGUGUCGU